rfam:Mus musculus chromosome 4 genomic contig, GRC reference assembly alternate locus group NOD/MrkTac.
UUCUCCGAUAAUGGACAAAGAGACACCUGUGGGUGAUGUUCUUAUAUCAGUCGGGGCAGAGCAGAUGGCAGGCCUUUGUUCAUUUGUUCAUCCUAGCUUGAUGCCUGGCUUGGGGGCUAAAGCUGUCUUAUGCCAAGGACUCAUAA